GGAUAGCUCAGUUGGUUAGAGCAUGGUGCUGAUAAUGCCAAGGUUGUAGGUUCAGUCCCGGGAUGGAACA